rnacentral:rRNA from 1 species
UUAAGUUAAUAAGGGCGCACGGUGGAUGCCUUGGCACUAGAAGCCGAUGAAGGACGUGACUAACGACGAAAUGCUUUGGGGAGCUGUAAGUGAGCAAUGAUCCAGAGAUGUCCGAAUGGGGGAACCCGGCAGGUAAUGCCUGUCACUCAUUACUGUUAAGGUAAUGUAGAGGAAGACGCAGUGAACUGAAACAUCUAAGUAGCUGUAGGAAGAGAAAGCAAAAGCGAUUGCCUUAGUAGCGGCGAGCGAAACGGCAAGAGGGCAAACCGAAGAGUUUACUCUUCGGGGUUGUAGGACUGCAACGUGGACUUAAAGAUUAUAGAAGAACUACCUGGGAAGGUAGGCCAAAGAGAGUAAUAGCCUCGUAUUCGAAAUAGUCUUUAUACCUAGCAGUAUCCUGAGUACGGCGAGACACGAGAAAUCUCGUCGGAAUCUGGGAGGACCAUCUCCCAACCCUAAAUACUCUUUAGUGACCGAUAGUGAACCAGUACCGUGAGGGAAAGGUGAAAAGCACCCCGGGAGGGGAGUGAAAUAGAACCUGAAACCGUGUGCCUACAACAAGUUCGAGCCCGUUAAUGGGUGAGAGCGUGCCUUUUGUAGAAUGAACCGGCGAGUUACGAUAUGAUGCGAGGUUAAGUUGAAGAGACGGAGCCGUAGGGAAACCGAGUCUUAAUAGGGCGCAUUAGUAUCAUGUCGUAGACCCGAAACCAUGUGACCUACCCAUGAGCAGGUUGAAGGUGAGGUAAAACUCACUGGAGGACCGAACCAGGGCACGUUGAAAAGUGCUUGGAUGACUUGUGGGUAGCGGAGAAAUUCCAAACGAACUUGGAGAUAGCUGGUUCUCUCCGAAAUAGCUUUAGGGCUAGCGUCGAUGUUAAGUCUCUUGGAGGUAGAGCACUGUUUGGGUGAGGGGUCCAUCCCGGAUUACCAAUCUCAGAUAAACUCCGAAUGCCAAUGAGAUAUAAUCGGCAGUCAGACUGCGAGUGCUAAGAUCCGUAGUCGAAAGGGAAACAGCCCAGACCACCAGCUAAGGUCCCAAAAUAUAUGUUAAGUGGAAAAGGAUGUGGGGUUGCACAGACAACUAGGAUGUUAGCUUAGAAGCAGCUAUUCAUUCAAAGAGUGCGUAAUAGCUCACUAGUCGAGUGACCCUGCGCCGAAAAUGUACCGGGGCUAAAACAUAUUACCGAAGCUGUGGAUACCUUUAUAGGUAUGGUAGGAGAGCGUUCUAUGUGCGAAGAAGGUGUACCGUGAGGAGUGCUGGAGCGCAUAGAAGUGAGAAUGCCGGUAUGAGUAGCGAAAGACAGGUGAGAAUCCUGUCCACCGUAAGACUAAGGUUUCCAGGGGAAGGCUCGUCCGCCCUGGGUUAGUCGGGACCUAAGGAGAGACCGAAAGGUGUAUCCGAUGGACAACAGGUUGAUAUUCCUGUACUAGAGUAUAUAGUGAUGGAGGGACGCAGUAGGCUAACUAAACCAGACGAUUGGAAGUGUCUGGCCAAGCAGUGAGGUGUGAUAUGAGUCAAAUGCUUAUAUCUUUAACAUUGAGCUGUGAUGGGGAGCGAAGUUUAGUAGCGAAGUUAGUGAUGUCACACUGCCGAGAAAAGCUUCUAGCGUUAAUUAUACUCUACCCGUACCGCAAACCGACACAGGUAGUCGAGGCGAGUAGCCUCAGGUGAGCGAGAGAACUCUCGUUAAGGAACUCGGCAAAAUGGCCCCGUAACUUCGGGAGAAGGGGCGCUGACUGAUGGUCAGCCGCAGUGAAUAGGCCCAAGCAACUGUUUAUCAAAAACACAGCUCUCUGCUAAAUCGUAAGAUGAUGUAUAGGGGGUGACGCCUGCCCGGUGCUGGAAGGUUAAGAGGAGUGCUUAGCGUAAGCGAAGGCAUGAAUUGAAGCCCCAGUAAACGGCGGCCGUAACUAUAACGGUCCUAAGGUAGCGAAAUUCCUUGUCGGGUAAGUUCCGACCCGCACGAAAGGCGUAAUGAUUUGGGCACUGUCUCAACGAGAGACUCGGUGAAAUUUUAGUACCUGUGAAGAUGCAGGUUACCCGCGACAGGACGGAAAGACCCCAUGGAGCUUUACUGCAGUUUGAUAUUGAGUAUCUGUACCACAUGUACAGGAUAGGUAGGAGCCUAUGACCUCGGGACGCCAGUUUCGAGUGAGGCGUUGUUGGGAUACUACCCUUGUGUUAUGGCUACUCUAACCCAGAUAGGUUAUCCCUAUCGGGGACAGUGUCUGACGGGCAGUUUGACUGGGGCGGUCGCCUCCUAAAAGGUAACGGAGGCGCCCAAAGGUUCCCUCAGAAUGGUUGGAAAUCAUUCGCAGAGUGUAAAGGUAUAAGGGAGCUUGACUGCGAGAGCUACAACUCGAGCAGGGACGAAAGUCGGGCUUAGUGAUCCGGUAGUUCCGUAUGGAAGGGCCAUCGCUCAACGGAUAAAAGCUACCCUGGGGAUAACAGGCUUAUCUCCCCCAAGAGUUCACAUCGACGGGGAGGUUUGGCACCUCGAUGUCGGCUCGUCGCAUCCUGGGGCUGUAGUCGGUCCCAAGGGUUGGGCUGUUCGCCCAUUAAAGCGGCACGCGAGCUGGGUUCAGAACGUCGUGAGACAGUUCGGUCCCUAUCCGUCGCGGGCGUAGGAAAUUUGAGAGGAUCUGCUCCUAGUACGAGAGGACCAGAGUGGACUUACCGCUGGUGUACCAGUUGUUCUGCCAAGAGCAUCGCUGGGUAGCUAUGUAGGGAAGGGAUAAACGCUGAAAGCAUCUAAGUGUGAAGCCCACCUCAAGAUGAGAUUUCCCAUGAUUUUAUAUCAGUAAGAGCCCUGAGAGAUGAUCAGGUUGAUAGGUUAGAAGUGGAAGUGUGGUGACACAUGUAGCGGACUAAUACUAAUAGCUCGAGGACUUAUCCAA